GAGGGAUCACGCAUCUCACCGCUUGACGAUCAAGGGGGCAAAGCCUCGGUCUUCAUAGAAAAGGAGAGGAGGCAAGCGCAGCCCAAACUGGGGGGUUUCUCUUCAAAGCCAGCUGGUCUGGCUUUGUUCUACAGGAAUUUUUUACCUGUCAGAGUUUGGACAACAAAGCCCUCAGCAGGUGCUGACGGGAACAACUUCCUGGAGAAGCAGAAAGGCACUGGUGCCAAAAAAGCCUUGGAAACUGUGAAGUAACCUCUGGAGAGAUGAAGUGAAUCAUGGAAGGCCAAUGGCUGCAGCAGUAAAGUGUAGAAGGUGAGUGUCACAUCUAUCAUCUACCACAAACUUACCAUGAAAGGAGAGCCACCGGUCUCUUUGUCUCGAAGUAUUCCAAAUGUUGACAUGUGUGACAGUGACACCGUUAAAUGGUCAUUCACUUCCUCAUAAUCUGAGGAGCGCUGUGGUAUGUUGCUUAAAGCUCCUAGCACCUUUCGCGGCCCACCUUUGCAAGUGUCUACUGUAAUUAAGCUGUUUCCUGGGUGUCCCUGUGCAUCUUCACAGGACUACAAAGAGGUUAAAACAUCUUUUAUGUUGUGGAAUUUGAAUCUUACCAUGUUUCUCAGUUUUUUUUUCCUCUAAAUUUUCAUGUUCAAUUAUAUUUAUGUUGAAAGUAUUCUGGCUGAAGAACAAAUACUAUACACUUGAAUAAUCUUGAGGGGUAGAUUAAUCUAUAUCCUUUCUUCAUCUCAGGGCAGGUUGCUGUGGCAACCGCCCCAGCUCACUUUAAAAUAAUUUUUUAAAGCUCACUUCAAGAGCUACACCCAGCGUGGGCCAGGCUUAAAAGCAGGCAGACCAGUGCAUAGGGCUUUCGUAGACUGCUGCUUUAAUGUAGGGAGGCAGAGGAAAGGAAGCUGAAGUAAGAUGGCUCAAAACAGAAAUCGGAAUGUUAGCUUUGAGCUGAGACAAUCAGUCACCACAGUCUCUAUAACGUAGGUGUUUAAAUGCAUUGUGAAAUAAACCCUUGGCGUGGAUAGCUGGUGUUGAUCUAUAUUUAACAUUAGGCCCUUAUAAUAAUUAAUGAAGGGAAUAUUUGUGAUGAGAGAGAGAGGGGAGAGAGAGAGAGAGAGAGAGAGAGAGAGAGAGAGAGAGAUGGUUUAGUGGCAGAUCAAUUCUAGCCAUCACUCCAUCCUCUUUUCUUAAAAGAAAGUUUCCUUUUAUUAAAUCCUUAGCUUCUCUCCCCACUGAUAUACAGGGUAUAAUAAUUAGGUUCAUUUUCAAGCAUAGAACUAAAUUGGGUAAAUGCAAACUAGCAAACUGAGGCCUAGAAAGUAUUCAUCUAAUUUGUAAGGCACACUUGGCGUUUUCAAUGUUGGCCACCAAACCAUAAGCUAAGGAAGUUAGUGCUCUGCUCCAGAGUCACAUCCACAACCACAAAUCCUAAACUGGAGGGAGAGUUCUAUGUGGCUCCAUACCUAGAGCAAACUGCUUCCUACACAGGAAAAUACUCUGCUGCUCACCAAGUAAUGUUAGCUACAAGAAUUACCAGUUUGGGUAAAGUG
ensembl:lncRNA